UUCACUUCAUCAUCAACAAACUCACCUGAAGAACAGAAAGUUUGUCACACAUCAGUGAUUCAUGUGGCUCCAAAUCAUUUAUUUACUGGUGUUGCUUCACACAAGUAAAAUAACUUAUAAAAUAAAUAACUUACAAGAUUUUUUAAACCACGGCACUAUAAAACUGUUUAAAAUAUUCAAUGGGAUAUUGACAUUUACCUUUUUUUUUUUUUUUUUUAUGAAUGCGAUGUGAACACCUGUAAAAGGUCAUUCUGUGGGCGUGUAGAUUUCAAUAAAUUAUUUUUUUUUAAAUUCAAAUUAAUUAAAAAUGUCUGGGAUAAAACUUACUCUUUUUUUGUCUUGUUAGGGAUUUAGCUGUAAUUCCAAACAGAGGGAAUAUAGAAUGAAUCCAUCAUGAUGAAAGUUUGUUUUCAAUUUACAAUCAUUUCCUGUUACGACGCGCGGUUUCAAUCAGCUCGUGAGCGCGAGGCGCGCAUGCGCCGACAACCCGGAAUCAAAGCUGAUCGCUGCUCUUUUUCAUAAAGAUGCUGGCUUUUAUGUACGGCCUCCAAACAGGAAGUCACUUUCAACGAAGCGGAGACGGCGAGGACGGAGCAGAGAGAACCCAUGUCCGGCUUUAUUCAAGUCAAUAAAUGAACACACUGAAAAACAAUGUGAAACAUCACACUCAUGAACUUUGUCCUGCCACUCCAACAUUUCUCAUCAAAAUCAAAUCUCAAAGGCCGCCAUAUUUCAACUUUUAUUCUGGUUGAAUCAGAUUUACAGACUGGUCUUAUUAACAUCCACCGUUUUUAUUCUUGCACCUACACUGAAACGUGGUCUGCUUUAUCUUCAUGUGGUUUGAUGUGAAUCAGUGGAUGAAUGAGGGUCAGUUUGUUCAGGCGUUCCUUCAUUUUCUCUCUUGCUUAUAUGAACCAAACAUUCAGACUUCUGUCCUUUAUAAAACAUUUACAGUUAAAUAAAACUAAUCCAUCAGUUAAGAAUCAGAAGUCAACAACAA